UACGAAGGGGGCUAGCGUUGCUCGGAAUCACUGGGCGUAAAGGGUGCGUAGGCGGGUCUUAAGUCAGGGGUGAAAUCCUGGAGUCAACUCCGGAACUGCCUUUAAAACUGCAUCGCUUGAAUCCAGGAGAGGUGAGUGGAAUCCGAGUGUAGAGGUGAAAUUCGUAGAUAUUCGGAAGAACACCAGUGGCGAAGGCGGCUCACUGGACUGGUAUUGACGCUGAGGUGGCGAAAAGCGUGGGGAGCAAACAGG
rnacentral:rRNA from 1 species